UCUUAAGGGGGAAGUCUACUGUAAAAUUUUCAAAAAAUCAAUUUUUUGUUUAUUGGCUUAAAAAAUACUUUGAACCCUCUAAAAUAAGGUACAUUAGGUGUUAUAGCCGGCUAAAUUUUUCUUCAUUGAAAUUUCGACUUUUUACCGAAGCGCUCCGAAACGCGUACCUGCGGCAAAUUCCUAUCUGUUCGGCGGGUACAGCGUAGUGACUUGCAAUUCAAUUUCUAACAUUUCUAAUACUCCAAGUCAAUCAACAGAUAUCACUAGGUAUAUUUUAUAGUCAGUUAGAAGCGAUUUCAACAGAUGAUCUGAUCGUUAGCUCCGAAACAAACAUUCAGCGGCGCAAAAACCGUCGAUAUUGCGUCGUAUUGUGCUGCGAGCAUUUUCAAUGAAGGCUACUCCAGUAUCCUCAAAAUGAUGGACGUUAUGAACAUCAAAAUUGGACCAAACGCCUUCAAUUUAUGCAACACCGUGGACGAGCGCAGAAUAUCACGAGCAAACGAACGGUCGUUCGACGCUUCAAAAGAAGGGAGAAUCGAAAGAAGAACGGCGCGAUCGGCACUCGAAGAGGAUUUCCUUGAAGAAGAAGGUGUACUAUAUGAAGCAGGAAUGGGCGAUUAAUGAUCACCCAGACGUGAGAUUUCAUGUACACCGUUUGGGCACCUAAAAAAAACGGACCUGCACUUGAAGGAGUGCCACGACGGCAAUUUUGAAUAUUUCGACUUGAAAAUUUUUUUACAAAUACUUGAAUAUAUAAUAAAGAUGACGGUUUAAUUUAA